rnacentral:rRNA from 1 species
GAUGAACGCUAGCUACAGGCUUAACACAUGCAAGUCGAGGGACCGGCGCACGGGUGAGUAACACGUAUCCAACCUGCCCUUUACUCGGGGAUAGCCUUUCGAAAGACAGAUUAAUACCCGAUGUAAAGGAUGGGGAUGCGUUCCAUUAGGUUGUUGGUGAGGUAACGGCACACCAAGCCUUCGAUGGAUAGGGGUUCGGAGAGGAAGGUCCCCCACAUUGGAACUGAGGCCCGAUCCAAACUCCUACGCGAGGCAGAAGUGAAGAAUAUUAGGAAAUGGGCGUUAGCCGGAAACAGCCAAGUAGCGUGAAGGAUGAAGGCUUAUGGGUCGUAAACUGCUUUUGUAUAAGAAUAUGUAUUAUAUGAAUAAGGAUCGGCUAACUCCGUGCCAGCAGCCGCGGUAAUAC